AGAACUUAGCAGAGAUGCUUUGGUGCCUUCGGGAACUCUGAGACAGGUGCUGCAUGGCUGUCGUCAGCUCGUGUUGUGAAAUGUUGGGUUAAGUCCCGCAACGAGCCGCAACCCUUAUCCUUUGUUGCCAGCGGUCCGGCCGGGAACUCAAAGGAGACUGCCAGUGAUAAACUGGAGGAAGGUGGGGAUGACGUCAAGUCAUCAUGGCCCUUACGAGUAGGGCUACACACGUGCUACAAUGGCGCAUACAAAGAGAAGCGACCUCGCGAGAGCAAGCGGACCUCAUAAAGUGCGUCGUAGUCCGGAUUGGAGUCUGCAACUCGACUCCAUGAAGUCGGAAUCGCUAGUAAUCGUAGAUCAGAAUGCUACGGUGAAUACGUUCCCGGGCCUUGUACACACCGCCCGUCACACCAUGGGAGUGGGUUGCAAAAGAAGUAGGUAGCUUAACCUUCGGGAGGGCGCUUACCACUUUGUGAUUCAUGACUGGGGUGAAGUCGUAACAAGGUAAGCGUAGCGAG
rnacentral:rRNA from 1 species